UUGCAGCCUGUGAAGAGGUCCUGGCCACCAAUCUGCCCUCAUCAACAAGGGCUUGAAAUUGAGCCCAGUCCUCCUGAGGUUUAUCUUUAAAGUCUAGAGUAGUUCAGAAAAUCAUAUUUGGUGAGAUGGGCCUCAUAAUUCAAGAUCCUAAACCGUAGACUGGUAGAUGCAAAGACCUUUCACCCAGUAAAGUCAAGAUGUUUGGCCUCCUUAUCUGUGAGAGUUAUUAUUAGGCGUUGUUGCCUGAAUCUUUCAGUGGCCAUCUGCAACACUAGGGCAUUUGGAGCAAGGAUGGAAAAAAAGGAGAAGCUCUGGACGUUGGAGGAUCCUGACUCAGUCCAUGAAGUGAUAAGAAAGAACUGGCAGUCGGUCCUCCCUUCCACUUAUACUCUUGGUGGGGAGCACAAGUAGAGCUGGGGCACAGGUGGGGACCAAUAGACACUGCUUGCAAAAACCCUCCAGUCAUGUGUGCAUGCAUACCCAGAGGUGGAAUACAUAAAUGGACCAGUACUCAACAAAGACUAGUUUUUAUGGCCAAAUAAACCAAGAUACUUUGGUUCUCGUU